UACGUAGGGCGCAAGCGUUAUCCGGAAUUAUUGGGCGUAAAGAGCUCGUAGGCGGUUUGUCGCGUCUGCCGUGAAAGUCCGGGGCUCAACUCCGGAUCUGCGGUGGGGUACGGGCAGACUAGAGUGCAGUAGGGGGAGACUGGAAUUCCUGGUGUAGCGGUGGAAUGCGCAGAUAUCAGGAGGAACACCGGUGGCGAAGGCGGGUCUCUGGGCAGUAACUGACGCUGAGGAGCGAAAGCGUGGGGAGCGAACAGG
rnacentral:rRNA from 1 species